rnacentral:rRNA from 1 species
CAGCAGUAGCCGCGGGAAUACGAAGGGUGCAAGCGUUACUCGGAAUUACUGGGCGUAAAGCGUGCGUAGGUGGUGGUUUAAGUCCGUUGUGAAAGCCCUGGGCUCAACCUGGGAAUUGCAGUGGAUACUGGGUCACUAGAGUGUGGUAGAGGAUAGUGGAAUUUCCGGUGUAGCAGUGAAAUGCGUAGAGAUCGGAAGGAACAUCUGUGGCGAAGGCGACUAUCUGGGCCAACACUGACACUGAGGCACGAAAGCGUGGGGAGCAAACAGGAUUAGAUACCCCCGUAGUCCCUGUCUCUUAUAC